UACGAAGGGGGCUAGCGUUGCUCGGAAUCACUGGGCGUAAAGCGCACGUAGGCGGCUUUCUAAGUCAGGGGUGAAAUCCUGGAGCUCAACUCCAGAACUGCCUUUGAUACUGGGAAGCUUGAGUUCGGGAGAGGUGAGUGGAACUGCGAGUGUAGAGGUGAAAAUUCGUAGAUAUUCGCAAGAACACCAGUGGCGAAGGCGGCUCACUGGCCCGAUACUGACGCUGAGGUGCGAAAGCGUGGGGAGCAAACAGG
rnacentral:rRNA from 1 species